AAGCCACAUUCUCCUUCCUACAAAUUGGAAGCAGAAGAUCAGAGAGGUUAAGCAUGGGUCAAGGGCAUACCACUGCUAAACAGCGGGCUGGAAGGGGACCCAAAGAUGCUUCGCAUGGACGCUGGAGCCUCUUCCCAACUGCCUGUGCGCCCUGAGGCUAAUGGAUUCUGGAGAGAGGCUAUGAAGGAGAGUAGAAAAGUACAUGGGUCAAAUAAACCAAUUUCCUGGCCUGCAGGACACUGCUGAGCUCCGCCUGGCCUCCAAGCCUGUCAUCCCAACUCCUCUCGAGAGCCUGAAGCAGAAGGGUCAUGAGUUCAAAGACUGCCCGGGCUACAGCCUGAGCCCAAGGCCAGACCGAGCAAUUUAAUGAGGCCCUGACUCAAAAUAAAAAGUAAUACAAAAGAGCUGGGGGCGUGGCUCUGUGGUAGAGCACUUGCUGAGCGCGCGCGUGAGGCCCUGGCUUCCAUCCCCAGCAGUGCCAAAGACAGAAAGAGAAGCAAAAUCAGUUUGACACCGUCACACACAUCAGACACAAGUCACAGCAUGCAGCCACACAUCCAGCUUGCCUGGCUGGGUCACUGCAGGGCUCACAGGCAACGAUGCAGAGACACUUGGCCCUGAAAGGUGAAAGACUGAAAUUGCCAGUUUCGGUCACACACCGGAUGAUGCAGCAAAGCCCUACUACAGUCAGAAGUCCCCAAACUCACAGAAGGCCAGGGUAGCCCGUGGCCCUGCUUGCACGCUUGGAAACCCAUCGUUUCCCCCAGAGCAACAGUUCCCAUCCAUUUUAUGUGAAUUCUUCGGAGAAAGCAUUCCUUCCCCCCACCCCUCAGUUUUUCCACCAGUGCGGUGUGAGGCUUCAGGCCAGGAAAGAGCAGAAACUAAAAGUAUCACUCAACUUUGGAAUGCAAGAGAAAUUAAUUAAAUCCAAAUUUGCCCCAGAAUGCUGGGAGUUGAACGCCACUCAAGACAGACUUGCGAUCCGGAUUGGAUUUCAAAGCCGUUUCUGAGAAACCUCUGGGAGCUGUUUUGCGGCCCACGGCAGAGAUGGAGUUGCCUGGCACAAGCCCACAGGGCAGGUGGGAGACCUGUCUCGAGCUCAGUGACACUGGGACGGCCUGGCGUGAAAUGAAAACUGGGGAGAGUUGCUGGGCAACACAGACCUGAUGCUGCUUGGACCAGGGCCUGGAUUUGCCAGCUGAGUGGGUGGUGGCUCUGUUCAUUUGUAAGGAGCCAAGCAGAGAAGACAGGGCGGCUUUACCCCGAGGAGCAGAAGGGAGGGGCACUCCCACCCAGGCAAGGGACCACAGGGGAUUUCUUUCAGUAACUUAUAAAGAUUCUCCUGGGGCAUAAGUGGAUCCCCUGGGAACACCUAGUAUUAUAAAACCCACCAAAACUGUACCCAUCUGUUCUCCAGUCAUUGCCAGGAGGCAGCUAUAGUGAGGAUCCCAACUACAAAAGGCCUCGGUAGACCUGGCUCCACCAUCCUACGCAGGACUUACGGUGGUUGGUUGCCAGUUAUCCACAAGCAUGAAGAAAGGAAUGUGUACACACCCUAUAAGAACGACUGCAUGGUUUUCAACACUAGCUGGGUUCAGACGACGUUUAAGUCCCACCGGCCAUUUAUGCCUGCAGUGGAUCCCUGGGAUGUGAUGGGAGAGAGUCACUCGCUCUGCUUUACUUUCUGAGUUUUUCUUCACCCUUUUGAUGAACCUGGUGAGGCAUUUGUGGGGAGAUUGACACAGGACACACAGUGAACGGCACAAAGCCAUUCACUCCGGAAGCGUACCUCUUUGAAGUCGGAGUGAACCCACCAGGCAGAUGGGCAUACAUGUCAGCCAGCUGCUGGAAUGUGACACCACAGGGUGCGUGAUGGUGAUCUAGCGUGUUGGGAGGGAUUGCUUGGACCGCCAACUUGAGGCCACCCAGAUACCUGGAGAGAGCGUCUCAGUGUGGGAUUGUCUAGACCAGGCUGGCCAGUGAGGAUGUCUAGGUGGGCCUAUCUUAUGUGAACUGAUGUGGGAAGCCCCCGUCCCCUGUGGGUGGCACCAUUGCCUAGGCAGGGGGUCCUGAACCGUGGAGAGAGUGAGCUGAGCACAAGCCAGCCAGCAUUUUUCCUUGCUCUUGUGGCAGUGAUGUGACCAGCUGUGUGACAUUUCUGCCUUGGCUUCUGCACGUGAUGGACUGGAACCUGGAACUGAGAGUGGAGAGCAACUUUCUCCUCUAAGUUGUCCGCUGUUAAUUGCAGUCAAGAGACUAGAGCACGCUGGUGUCUUGGCGCUUGUCCAGCUGACAUGCCUUCUAGUAAUAAACGUGAUGGACUUUA